rnacentral:lncRNA from 1 species
GGCAACCCGCUCCGGUGUCCUUCCAUGCUGUGGAGGCUCUGUUGUUUCGCUCUUUCUACUGCUUACUCUUCGGGUCCACACUGCUUUUAUGAGCUGUAACACUCACCCUGAAGGUUUGCAACUUGACUCCUGAAGCCAGCAAGACCACGAGCCCCAGGGAGGAACGAACAACUCCAGACGCGCUGCCUUAAGAGCUGUAACACUCACCGAGAAGGUCUGCAGCUUCACUCCUGAGCCAGCGAGGCCACGAACCCACCAGAAGGAAGAAACUCUGAACACAUCCGAACAUCAGAAGGAACAAACUCCAGACGUGCCACCUUAAGAGCUGUUAACACUCACCGCGAGGGUCCGCGGCUUCAUUUUUGAAGUCAGUGAGACCAAGAACCAACCAAUUCGGGACACAAUACCAACUCUUUCAUGCCAGGAGAAGCCUCCUUAAAAAAUUUCGGUGAUUAACAGCAGCACAUGGGUCAAAAUCUCCUGAAAGUUGAGCAGGGGAGCUGUAGAAGAAUUCCUCCUUUUCUCGCAGAUGAAAUCUUAUGAUAUAGCAGGGGUUACCUGGCCAAGAAGGAACACAGAGGAGAACAAAGAAAAUUCAAGGAACUAAAUUCCUUCUCCACCUCAACCACCAGCAUUGAUACUCCAUCACUUAUGUACUGCAUCAAGCCGUCCUCAGAGGUGAGGAAGGUGCUGUCAAGACUAGAAGCAUGUGUCCCUCUCUCCAUUGCAAGAUGGGACAUAGAGAGGAGAAAAGUGGCAGACAGAAGGCUAAUCUCAACUGGAAACCAGAAGGCUAGAAAUCUUACUGAUGUGAUGUCCAGGGAUACAGAGCAUAUGAAGGAUGCAGAGAGUGGGUCAAAUGGAAGGAAUGUAGCAAAACAUGUAAACUUGAGUAAGUAUUUGAUCUCUUUGAGCCUAUGUUUUUCAAUAUUUGGAUUCCAACAGCCAGCUCAGUGCUGACAGAGUCAGCAAGUUCUUGUUGAGUGGGAUUGUGUCCAUAAAAUAAUGUAUAUAAAAUAGACAAGCUCUAUAGCUCCUUUCAAUUAUGACCUUCUCUGAUUACUAUUUUGUUGAUUGUCCUCAAAUAUUAUUAAAUAAUCAUGCCCUGACCAUAAUAAAGAAGACUUCAUCAUUGCUGAGGAUGAAUUUCACACCCCAGUCUUUAACUCUAUGCUCUGCUAUCUCUUCCAUCUAAAAAUACAAAAACUGAUUGUUCAGGUGUUACACAAUGAGAUGUCUAAAGAGAAGAAAGACUAAAAUAUUUAGGUAAGGACAUGGAUGCAGGAUAGUAGGGGAGAAAAAUCGCUUUGAUUGUAAACUUGGGCACAUUGAGGAUAUUUGAAGGUCAUAAAAGUUUAACCUGUAAUAUACCAUAAAAAGGAGAGAUGGGAAUAACUUCUGGAAAUAUUCCUUUAAUUUUUCAGUUCUUUAUUUCAGUAAAUUUUUUGUGUACUGCUCUUGGUACUCAAAAUGGUACUCACAGUAGAUGCUCACAACUGUUUAUUAAAUUGAAAAUUACUGCAAAUAUUUUAACAGAAACACAUGAUUUUGCAUUUACCUAUAUAAUUUGAAAAAAUUUGCUACUUAUUUUCCCUCAAGGUUUAACUUAGACAUUUUCAAUAUCUCUCUUAAUAAAAGAUUGUAUUUUUCUAGCAAUAAUGUCUUUUCUUAGCAAUUGUUACAAACAUAUGUACAAACUGUAUUGCAUAGUGUUGUUACAGAAAGUAAGCCAACAAGAGCCCUGUACUUCUUUCCAGAGAGUUAUUUCAAAACAGCUUUCUCCUCCUUAAGCUCCUUCAUUGGUAAAGAAACAUCACAAAAACGUUUUGAGUCAUUCAAUUCACUUUGUAAUCAGGUCUCCAGUGCCAUAAACUGUGAGUACUUGCUAAUUUGCCCCUGAAGAUUUAUUCAUGAGAUAUUUUUCCUGAAUUUACCCCAUUUGAUCUUGUCCUUUUUUUCCUCGACAAGCCAAAUACAUCUGUUCUGUUAAAGUGCCUGUACCUGUUAAGUGUUUGUAUUAUGGGGAAAAUCCUCCCUUAAGACUCCUUCAAUUAAUACAUCUAUGACUACUUUUCUGCUUUUUUGUUCCCCUUUCCUACUCUUCUUUCCAUUUAUUUAUUUUUAUUCUUUAAAUAAAUUUUUUCUCUGCAAGUCCUCAAGGCAGUACUCAAUAAUAUAAAGGGUAUAUAAUUAAUUGGUAGGACUGUCAGAAUUUAACAAAUUUCUUCCAAUAUUUUCUUCCAUAGAAUACUCUUCUCUUCCUCACUCUUUAAACUCUUACUCCCAGGAACUCCCUUCUGAUGGGAAAACGAUGUUCCAAGAAACCUAAAAUGACUUUCUCUGGCUCUCACUGCUAUUUCAGUUGCACAGCUGGGAUUAGAUCUCUGGAGCUCUGAUUUACAAUUAGGCAAUUUAACCUCAAUUCUAUCCCUUGUAGUAAACAGUAAAUAAGACCCAUAUUUCACUUGAAUAUUCUAAUCUGAAAAGAAUAACAUGCCUGAUAUUCUUUCCUUGAAACACUUGGUUUAUAAAAACAUGGAAAGGAUUUUCUAUUCUGAGUGAAUGUGUCAGCAGCUCUGAGAUGACAGCUGAUAAAUUGUCCUUUGAAAUCAUUAAAAAUGCUGUUAAAAAUGUAUAUUUGACAUCUUAAUAUGAAAAUGACAAAAUAAAAUGCUGUGUUCCUGCUUGUCUACCUAAGGCUCUGUACGGCACACUCUAAAUGAUGGUGACUAACACCUGCUGUCAGGCAUUGCCUUCAUAUGCUACAAAAAUAACUUCUCUAAAUAUUCUUAAGAAAGUCAGAAGUGUGUGUCAGCCAUCUGUCUGCCUUAAUUGGUUUUUCAUUAGAAUCCUACCAUUUCUUUGAGUUGUUAUUCCAAUUUUUUCCCUCCAUUUCCUUAAACUGACCUUUGGGUAGGUUGGGAGGGCCAGCCAUGGGAACACAUCUAGUGCACUGCUAGCAAUUGCAGCCAGGCCCAAAGUUAAUGCCCCUUUCAUGUGCACAUUCAGAGUCCCUGUGUGGUGCCUUGCACACUUUGUUUCUCCAGAGUUUUGCAAAAGAACUGGCAAGGGUCAGAUUCAACUAGCACCUCCUGGCUAAUCAAGCAUCAGACCCCCUGCUAGGUGUUUCCCAUGAGAUGCCAUCACACUCACCAAAAAUGGAAAGAGGAGGUUGAGCAGCAGCAAACUCUUGAGCCCUGUAUCCAAGGGAGUCGAAACGGCAAUCCAUAGGAAGUAUCACCUGGCUGUGCAAAUACAAGGUCUGUUUCUCAUUUCUCCUCCUGGCUUGCAAAAGUACUUUCAAACCUCUGCAUCCUUAGUGCAGAAAAGAUCAAAGAUACUCAGAUUCAGAAGAUCCCUGAUAAUCUGAAAAGUGAAAACAGACUUAAGAGAAAUAAUGAAGUUAGUAAUCAAGAACUUAAAACUAUCCACAUUUGAUAUAAGGUUCCUAAAGUAGAACCACAUCACGUGCAACAGGAACAGUGUGAAACAGUGCAAGGAUUCACAACAGCUAAAAAGUAGAUCCUCAGCCAUACUGCCAAAGGAUGUGUCAUCAUCAGUUUCCUACUGAAGAGGAAUAAGAAACUGAUAUCCCAACCCAUUGUGUUUCCUUUGUAGUUUGGUCUAUAUAAGCAAACAUAGUUCUCUUGAAAGGCUGAUAUUCCAGUGUUCUCAAUAAAUCCUUCAGUGGUCCUUGUUAAGUUCAUUAUAAAAGAUUCUCUUAGUAUUGUUACAAAGAGAUACUUGCUAUUGGAAGAACUAACCUGAAUAUCUUACCUGAGUAUUAGACAUAAAAUUCAGGUGACCAGUGUGGACCUAUCCAGGCCAACAGCCUCAAAACUGUCUAGAUGCUACACAUUUAUGCCACUGUACUGAAGGAAAUCAGGGAUAGAACCAGGCUACUUUUGUCUAAACAAUGUUUCUUCUCUAGUACCAAAGAGAGGAAAAAAACAGCACAUCUCUCAUUGCAUGGCUCUUCCCGGCCAAGACACUCUGCCGACUGUGAGAGGACCAAGGGUGAAAGCAAAAAGAUCAACUGGGAGACUCCUGAAAUAAUCUUGACAAUGCCUGAGGGUGGCUUAGACCAAAGUAGAAGCAGUGAAGAUAACUGAAAGUUGUUGAAUUGUGGACAGAUUUCAAAGGUAAAAUGGAUAAGAUUUGCUAACAUGUUAAAUGUAGUACGAGUGAAAGAGAGAAUUCAAAGAUGACUCUAAGAUUUUUUUGCCUGAACAACUGGGAGAAUGGAAUUCCCAGGGAAUGAGAUGGAAAAAACUUGAGGUUUGGGGUAACAUUGAGUUUAAUUUUGGACAUAAUAAGUUUGAAAUGUCUAUUAGCCAUCUGUGAAGAAAUAUCAAAUACACCGCUAUAUAUACAAACCUGUGAUUCUGGGAAUAGUUCCAUCCUGAGGGUAUACAUUUGGGAGUCAGCUAUAUGGAGGUGGCAUGAAAUUCUUGAGAUCAGAAGAGAUUAUCCAGGGAGUGAGCACAGAUAGAGAAAGGAGAGGCCACAGGUCUAUGUCCCACUUUUCCAGCAGAACACGGUGCAGUGUUAAACCAUUGCCACACCUCGCCAAUGAAACUAGACCACACUUACCCAACAGCCCAAUUAUUUGGAAAAUUCUUGAAAUACAGAAAGGAGUAGAGCAGCCCCAGGAGCUGUUAAGGUGUCUCAAAAUUUAUUCACUGUAACUCCCAGGAAAGUUCCAUGGGACAUCACCCAGGGCUGGCUGCAGCCUCUCAGAAGCACAUGCAAUGACAGCAGCUAAAUGCGACUGACAAAAGUAAAUCAGACACAGCUUAAAUAACCGUGAAGCCUAAAGUUUGGACUCCCUGGUGCUUAGCCCAUUUCUCUUUCUGAUAAAUAACUCUACCACCUAAUUAUUGAGGUAGCAAAUAGUUGUAGCCCCAUCUGGGCUAGCCUGAACUGUGGGUCUGUUAGUGCUCCUUAAAACUACUAUUUUGUUCAGGGUGUAUUUAGGAGGACUGAGCACUCAGUGGGGAAAGUUGCUAGAGGCAAUACUCAGCUUCUCCUCAACUACCCAAACAAAUCUGCGCCAGCACCAAGCUCACACACUGGUUCAGGACCACCAGCACUCUGCAGGAAACCCUCUUCCCCAAAGAUGGUUCAGUGACCACUUAAUGUUAUUUCAGCAUGACCCUUACAUAUGAUGACCAUGUGAUUAAGUAUCCAACCUGGGAUACUUUCUAGUGUCAAAGGGGGUGCUAUUACAACAGGUAUCAACUGGGACUGUGUAGGCAGGAAAGGAUUCGUAGUCCUAGCAAUUCACACCCUCACUUACUCCACUCCCAUUCCAGGAAGCUUAUGAAGGAACUUCUUCCAAAAACAUAAAAUACUGCCUGAGAUGACUUCUGGUAAAAACAACUUUGUCUGAGACCAUUUUCAGAAAUAGUUUAGCAUGUCUUACAGAUGUGAGGUCCUGUACAAGUUACUGACCACCCAUUCUUUCAUCUAUCUCUGCCUAUCUUUUAUGGAGCACCUGUUCUGUCCCAGGAACAAGGGACACAGAUUUAUACAAGGGAAUCAGUAUUGGUUAAGUUCAUAUUUAAGUAUGUUAACUCACUUAAUUCUCACAAAACCAGUGAGAAGUUAACCCUGCUUGACCAGUGAAUUCAUGAAUGCUCAGGGAGGUUAUGGAACAUGGCUAAAGUCACACAGCUAGCGGGUGGCAGCAGCAGGAUUUUAUUUCAUCACUGGCUGCUAAGCUUGUUCCUCUUUCCUUGUACUACACUGAGGGGAAAGAUGGUGAAAGACUCAUGAAGGACAUGAAAGGAGCUCAUGAAAGAUGAUGAAAGACUCUUGAAAGACAGGAGUCCAUGUCCCACAAGAUGGCUCUUUCAAGGUCUCUUCAGAGAUUUCCUUGUUGGGACUUCCUUCACCUGCAGUUUCCUUGGUUGCAACUCCUUUCCUGGCUACUUUGCAUGUCCAUACUAGCAGUCCCUACUGGCCUCUUUUUUCUGUGGCCUAUUUUCCUCCCUGUUGGUCCCCAGGUAAAAUCUCUUCCCCCGGCACACAUCUGGUCCAGGGAAACACUGGCGCAGCCCUUAGACCAUGCUCUCAGGGCUCUACCUCAGGAACACUUAGCCCUUUCAUUGUUCUUCCCAGUUCCUGGCCCCAAUCAGAUUCAGUGCAUUCUGUUAGAUUUAUCAGGCUUCCCAAAGUAGAGGGCACAUUUCAGAGCCCUCCGGGACAUCUACUUGAAGUCCCUUCACUUUCUCAGUUGGUGUGUUUAGAGCCAAAAUGAAGCCAGUGGGCUGAGAGGUGAGGGUUGGGGCAGGAAGAACAAGGCAGCCUAGUUGGAUAUGAUGUCUCAGGGGAAGAGGUCAGAGUGUAAAGGGGCCUAAUAAGCCAAGGUACCUGCAGGGGUGCCCACUAGAAGGCUUUCUGCAGAAUGCGAUGUGAUCUAAUUAUGAUUCGAAGAAUAGUGUGGACAGUAGGCAGACAAGAGCAGAAUCAGAUAUGAGGCAUCACAGAUAAGACCUGCUCUCAUGGCCCCUGCUGAUGUGUAAGGCAUUUCCCCCGAACCUCUUCUGCAGGUCAAGAAGACACUUUGCUCCUUCCUUUAUCCUAACCCUCUGCCCAAACCUGAGAAAAAUAUGACAGAGGCCCAUUGCAGUUUAGAAGGUCUUUAUACUAACCCCAAGAUUCUCAUUUAGGAAAGAGUCCAUAAUGGUUUCACUGGAGUGAAGCAAAGGCAACUGUACAAAUAUAAUCAGCCCACUGAAGGUUCUGGCCUACAACAUAAGAGUUUCUUCUGUUUAGCACCAUCAAACACUCUCGUGACUGCACAUAUCAAUAACUUUAAGAAGUUACCUUCUCCCCACUUGGACACAGGGUGGGGAACAUCACACACCAGGGCCUGUCGUGGGGUUGGGGGAGGGGGCAGGGAUAGCAUUAGGAGAUAUACCUAAUGUAAAUGACGAGUUAAUGGGUGCAGCACACCAACAUGGCGCAUGUAUACAUAUGUAACAAACCUGCACGUUGGCACAUGUACUCUAGAACUUAAAGUAUAGUAAAAAUAAAUAAAUAGAAGUUACCUUCUCCCUUUUUGGAGGGCAAUUUGACCACAUCUAUUAAAACUUUAAGUGCUCAUAAAAUUUGACCUUGCAAUUUUACAUCUGGCAUCCAUCCUACAGAAACACUGAAGUCUGUGCACAGAGUUACAAACACAAGAACAUUCACUUUGCAUUAUUUGUAAUAGUGAAAAUUGAAAACCUUAAUGUUUCAUCAGUAUAAUGGUUAAUUAAUUCAUGAUAAUCCAUAUUACAGAUAGUUAUGCAAAAGAAGACCAAUUUGAACUCAUGGAAACAGUGACACGAUUUAUGGUUAAGUGGGGGAAAAAACUAGUUUCAGGAUAAUAUGUAUGGCAAGAUCCCACUCUUGGAGAGAAAAAAAGAUAUAUGUGUACAGUGUAUGCACCUGUGUCUGUAAAGGCCCACAACAAAGUCAUCAAACUAUUAACAGCAGUGGCCUUUGAGAAAGGGAGUGUGAGUGGAAUGAAGAGGCCAAAGAGAGAAUACAGAUUGCUCAGCACUUCAUAGUGUGAUUUAAUCUUUUGUAAUAAUAAUGCAUUUGUACAUUUCCUAUGUGACUUUUUUUAACUAGAAAAAAUAAACAACAACAAAAAAAACAAGAAAUACAGAAAUGUGGUUGGCCUAAAAAUCUUGGGUAUUACUUCUUAAUUUUAACAAAAAUGUUCUUACAAUCCUAGUCUGGUUGCUAUUCCAGCCUUUCUAAAUUCCUGACCUUCACUGCUCAUCAAAUUCUAAUUAACCUUGUGGUUCCCCAGAGUCUUGCAGGUGUCCGGACCGGCUGGUGUCUCCUGGAGCAAACCAGCCCUCCUUCUUGUGGUAGGCAACUGCCUGGGUGCUAACUCCUCGGUGACAGCAGUGUAAAUGAUUCCAUUGGUCUUCUAGGAGGCAGGAACUUCACAGACCUCAGUGCAUAAUAACAAAUUCAAUGCUUAACAGGACUUGUCAUGCAUGGAAGGAGCUGCGGUCGCCACCACAGUGGUCACAGGACCACAAGUGUGAAGUGAAGAGCUGGCUCUGACAGUGAUUGCUCUCUCUAAACAGGUCAGGGUUUGUUCUGCCUCAGUACAAACAAACAGUGCCCUCUUCUGCCCAGCAGCAGAACUUCUCUUCAAAACCAUCACCUUGUCAGAGUAUCUGGAACUUUCACCCUGUUAGGUUGUUCACUGCAAAAUGAGCCAAAGAAACUGGAAAAUAACACUGAUGAGGGAGAGGUCAUCUGUCGGAAAGCUGUCACUCUGAUUCUGCCCUAAAUUCAUGUCCCAAUUUUACAAGCAUUCUAUUUUAACCGCAGAGAAGAUGAAAAGAUUUAAAUAAUAGAGUAAGUUACAUCUAUCAAACUGGCCAAAAAAAAAAAAAAUUUAAGUGCUUAAACUUUGUAUUGCUAUGAUAAAAUAUUAUCCAUGGUAUGGAAUAUCAGUUCAAGCUUUCUGAGAAACAGUCUGGCAGCUGGUUACCAUUUUAAAAAUAUCCUUUAUUACAUUUUAGUUCAAUAAUUAUUUAUUUGGGAAUAUUUCAUGAAAAAAAUAGACACAAAGACAAUGAAGUAAUUUACAUAAAGAUGCUUAGAGCCAUGUCAUAUUUCAUUAUUAUAUACUGAAAAACUGGAAAAACUCAAGUACAAAUGGCAAGCAGUAAAUAAAUUGUUAUAUGAAGUACAAUAUAGUAUUACAAUGCUUUACUAUAAAGCCAUUAUGAAUUGUAAUUUCAGGCCAGGCAUAGUGGCUCAUGCCUGUAAUCCCAGCACUUUGGGAAGCCGAGGCACGUGGGCUGCUUGAGCUCAGGAGUUUGAAACCAGCCUGAGCAACAUGGCAAAACCUCGUCUCUACAAAAAAUACAAAAAUUGGCCACGUGUGGCGAUGCACGCCUGUGGUCCCAGCUACUCAGGAAGCUGAGGUGGGAUGAUUGCUUAAGCCCAGGAGGUUGGGCUGCAGUGAACCUAGAUAGCACAAAUGCACUCCAGCCUGGGCGGCAGAGUGAUACCCUAUCUCAAAACAAACAAAAAAUGGUAAUUUCAGGGACUGACAUAAUAGAUUUACUGUAUAUAUGAUACUGGAAAAACAUAGAAUACAAAAUGAUGCUCAUACUCUUACUAUAAUGCAAGUGUAUACAAUGGUAAAGGAUUUUAGAGUAAACAGAGUUUAGUAUACACUCUUAUAUCUAAAGAUAGUUCAGUAUGAAGCAAUAUAGAAAGGUAGGAGAGGGAAAGAAAGCAAGACAGAAAACAAAAUCUAUUAGCUAUUGUGUCAUGCCUCAUUUCUAACUGCCUCAUCUCAAAGUAUCAUUUUCUCUGUUUUGGAAGCCAGAGAAAUCUAUUUUACUUCACUAAUAGUUUGUAAAGAGAGAGCAUAUCACUUAUUAAUGUAUAAAAAAGCAAAAAUAGCUUUAGAAAGAGUUGCCAAACUCCCUCUGUCCUUUCUUAAGCACACUUCACACUUUUGGCUCAUACAGAUAGAAGCUUUAAAAUAUUCUAGGUUCAAUUAUUAGUAUUUAUAAUCUCUAAAGCUAAAAGACAAGUUUACUCAGAAGGUUCAGGAAUGUGAAAAUCAAUGUAAAAUGACAAAAAGUUUCAUGAAACCCCUGAUAAGGCUAAAAUCUGACAGCUUGAUGGAGACAUCUCAUAUUGAGAGUUCAGGCAAAAACAGUGAGCUUUUGUAAUUCUCACUGUUAAAUUCACAAUAUAGUCUCAGUUCUAGCCUGGAGAUAUUUAAAGUAUGGACUUGAAAUGUCUAACAAGACACAAACCUUUGCAAGAGCUCAGCACUCUCUUCCAUAAGGACCAGGAUCAAAAUUUAUCCCAUAUUAAGAACCACACAAGGAGUUUGUUAAAACCUCAUAUUCCUGGGCCUCCUUUGCCAGAGAUUCUAUGUAGGUCUGUGACAAGGCCCUGGAAUCUUUUUUUUUUUUUUUUUAACAAAAGCCGUGGGAGCUUCUGAUGCAGCUGGCCCCUGUACUUGGAUAACUAUUAGUGUAGUAAACAGUAGGGUUCCUUAAUUAACCUCCUUGAAAAUUUGUCAGUCAGUCCCUUUGGAGCUGGGAUCCAGACACUAUGUUAGAAAACACAGAAUUCAACCAAUUCUUAACAUCCCUGUUACCAGAUCACUAGUCCAUGCCCCACUGCCUCUUGCCUGGCCCUUGUGAUGGCCUCCUCACUGGCCUCUGGUUCCUUACUCUUGCUCUUCACACAACAGUCAGAGUGGCCAUCUCAAAGCCCAAGUCAGACCAUGUUACUCUUACGGAUUCCUAAUUGUUAUUUACAAGGCCCUGCAUAAUCUUAUCUCUAGCUACUUUCCUAACCUCAUUGCCUCUUCCCUUUUCCUUCUCUACUCCAGCCACAGUGAUCUUCCUGCAUUACUUCAACAUACUAAGUGUGCCCCAGACUCAGGGACUUUGCACUUUCUGAUCCCUUUGACUGGAAUGCUCUCCCACUCCUGCUUGGGCUUUCUUCUCAUUGGCACCCUGAAGAGAGGCCCUCCUAGUCCCCUAGUCCAUUAUCCUUUGUCCUCUUAUUUUUCUUUUAGGCACUUGCCACAUGACGCACGAUAUUUUUAAUUGUAUCUUUGUGAGAGGUGACUUUAUCCAUUUUAUGCAUGACUCAGUCUCAGCAGGUAAAGUGGUGUGUGCCAUGUAAAAGGUGCUCAAUAAAUAUCUGAUGAAUGAAUAAAUGUAGGAAUUUCACAUGUAGAGUCUUUGGGAAAUAAAAUAUAGGUAGAAUCUUUUGGAGUCUACUUGUAGAAUCCAACUUUAUAUAAAAAUAAGAAAGGCAUAAUUUGUCUGAUCUGCUACAUUUCUAGAUUCCCCAGUGGGAUUUUCAUUUUAAAAAGGAGGUACUCACGCUGGGCUACAGAAAUUGACAUUCACAUAACCCUAUUCCUGUUCUGAGUCAUCUUGUUGUGCUGGAAACUCAAGUGACACAUAUUAAAAAGAAGAAAAAUUGUCGAGCCUCUUUUUCAUUAUUGCUGUAGUUUGAAUGAUUGUGUCCCCUCCAAAUUUUAUGUUGAAACUUAAUCCCUAAUGUAACAAUAGUAAGAGGUGUUACCUUUGAGAGGUGAUUAGGGGACUCUGCCCUCAUGAAUGAGGUUGGCACCCUUGUGAAAAGGCUCAGGGUUGGCCAGGCGCGGUGGCUCACGCCUGUAAUCCCAGCAGUUUGGGGGGCCAAGGCGGGAGGAUCACCUGAGGUCAGCAGUUUUGAGACCAACCUGGCUAACAUGGUGAAAUCCCUUUUCUACUAAAAAUACAAAAAAUUAGCCAGACGUGGUGGUGUGCGCCUGUAAUCCCAGCUACUUGGGAGGCUGAGGCAGGAGAAUCUCUGGAACCCAGAAGACAGAGAUUGCAGUGAGCCGAUAUCACACCGUCGCAUUCCAGCUUGGGCAACAAGAACUCUGUCUCGAAAAAAAAAAAAAAAAAGAAAGAAAAGAAAAGAAAAGGCUCAGGGUUGAAGGGAGUGCUCUCUUGACCUUCUAUCCCUUCUCCACCUUGUGAGGCAACAGUAUUCCUCCCCUCUGGAGGAUGCAGCAACAAGGCGCCAUCUUGGAAGCAGAGAACAGCCCUCGCCGGACAUCAAUUCUGCAAGUGCCUCGAUCAUGGAAUUCUAAGCCUCCAGAACCAUGAGAGAUAGAUUUCUACUGUUUAUAAAUUAUCCAGACUGUGAUAUUUUGCCAUAGCAGCGUAAAAAGACUAAGAUAAUUAUACAUCCUCACUCUCCAGGUUUAAAAUAGAUAAAUUCAGAAAGAAUUUCAAAUAUGAUGAUUUUUUUUAAUGUUUAACAGGUUUCUUGAUGCUGCUGGUUUUUUACAGUUCUCUUGAUGACUAUUACGAAGGUAUAUGAAGAGGCAGGUGCCUUGGGAAGCUAGUGAAGCCAAAAUCCCAGAGCUUCUCGCUUGCGUAGACUCCUGUGAGGGCUGGGAAUUUCUGUCAUGGAAUGUUCCAGAUGAGGAGGGGAAGCCCAGCUGCACUCAGGACACACUUCUAUAUAGUCCUUUUGAACCGUCUUACCAGUAAUUAAGAGAUAACUAUGAGGCCUUGCACACUGGCUCACACCUGUAAUCCCAGCACUUUGGGAGGCCAACGCAGGAAGAUCACUUGAGGUCAGGAGUUUAAGACCAGCCUGGCCAACAUGGCAAAACCCCAUCUCUACCAAAAAUACAAAAAUUGAGCAGGUGUGGUGGCGCAUGCAUGUAGUCCCAGCUACUGGUGAAGUUGAGGUGGGAGAGUCACUUGAACCCAGAAGGCAGAGGUUCCAGUGAGCUGAGAUCAUGCCGCAGCACACCAGCCUGGGUGAAAGAGUGAGACCCUGUCUCAAUUAAAAAAAAAGAAAAAAGAAAAAAGAAAGAAAGAAAGAGAGAGAGAGAGAUAACUGUGAGUCUUUUCCUAAAUUUCUUCAUCUGCCCCCUUUCUAAUUUGUUUGCAUUCAUUGAACUUAGAUGUCCAAAUAAUCAAAACCCAUUACUAACUGGCUUUUACUAAAAUCACUUCUUCACUUUCUCAAUAGUUAUAUUAAAAUGACCAACAUUCUUUAUCUGUUUAUUAAUGUUUAAAUAUUAACAAAUUUCAUUAAAUUAGCUCAACCAAAUAACGUUCUGGUACAUAAAAAUUAAUUUGAAAUAUAUAGUAAUAUGAUCCUUUUGUAGUUCAUGAGCAUAAUGAUUGGGUGUUCGCAUACAUGUGUGAGAUGUGCCACCCUCUGAACCUAGUUACAAUGUGGGGAUAUUACCUGUCUGACCUGAAAAAAAAGAAAUAUAUAUUAAUAAAGUAGUUAAUCGUUUGAGGUUUGAAAUAGACUUUCACAGAAAUUCAGUUGGAAAUUCACAGAUUGUAUGACAGAAACAAGAUCUGUAGUUUACAAUACAGAAAUCCCCUAACACAUUAUUUAUUUAGAACAGCACUGCCAGGUCACAAGUAGUGUCUAGAUAACCUGGAAAGCCAAGAAUUGGCUAGAAACCCAGUCAUGGAUAAAGCUCUGAAGUUGAAUUAAUUUAUAAAAUAGAAUGUGAUUCACUUUGAGUUAUCAAACAAACAUAAUUUAUGAGCUUCCUCUUUACCUUUGUUUUUGUUUUGUUUUUCUGGGGGUUUUUAAUCAGCUUUCAGUCUAGAGGUUGGGGGUAUAUUCUUAUCAGCUGACCAGAGACUAUAAAUAGAAUAGACAAUGGAAAGAGCCUCCAUUCAUCCAUCCAUUCAUUCAUUCAUUCAUUCUCCAGAAUUCUAGUAUAUACAAAUUUGUUUCUAAUGCCUAGAAAUUAGAAAAAAAGAAGGUCACUGCUCUGCUGGUCAAAAGGGCAAGUAAAAUAUAUUUUCUUUAAGAAGGGCAAAAAGAUAUUAACCACAGGUGAUAUAAUUAAAUUAUUUCAUUAUUUUAAAAUUGUGGUUUCCAGGCCCUACACCUACUUGUUUAGAAGCUAUGAUAUGCCAGUCACUGGCUGGUACUGAGCAGGACAGCAGGAUCCCUGCCUUCAUGGAUCUGAAAGUCUAGUGAAGCAGAAAGAGAAGUAAAUUGGUGAUUACAAGUGGUACUUAAAGUACAAAAUUCUAUGGCAUAAUAGGAAAGGGGGCCAACCCAGAAUGCAGGCAUUAGAACCUCUUUCCAGGUGAAAGAAGGGUAUCUAAGUUGAAAUCUGCAGGGUAUUGACAAAUAUUUGCUGUUAAUUAUCAAAGCAAUAAAAAGUAACAUAAUAAUAUAUAACUUUUUACAUAUUAAUACUUGCAAUUUUUUUUUUAUUCCUGUGUUCACAAGGGUUUGGGGUAGCAGGAAAUGGCCUGAUAGAGUACUGGCGAGAAUAAAAAAAUUGGUAUUAUCACUUUCAGUACAAUGUGGCAAUAUACAUCAAAAAAUAUAGAAAUAUGUGUACAUUUGACUUACCUAAAAUACCAAUUCUCAAUAUUUGCUUUAAAGAAAAAUAUAUGGACAAACUAUCUACAUUACCAUCUAAAUGUCUAACUAUAUAGUGACAAUUAAAUAACUAAUAGUACAUUCAUAUAAUGAAACAGCACUAAGUUAUUACAACAUUGGUAUAAAGAAAUAUUUAUUAACAUGUAUACAAUCAUGAUAUAUUAAGUAAAAUGAGAAGAUUACAAACAUAUGCAUAAUAGAAACCCUUUUUGGUUAAACACACACACACAGAGUUCUGGAAUGAUAUAAAAAGUGUGUUAAAUAAAGUUAUCUUUGGGUAAGAAGAUUAUACUUUCUUUUUUGGGAGGACUUUGUGUGUGCCUCUAUUACUAAUUUUUUACAUUAAAAACAUGCUGCUUUUAUAAUUCCAGAAACAAAAGUGAUGGGAUCAGGACAAAUAUAUUAAAUCAUAAAUAUUUUUAAUCCCACCCUUCUUUCAGCUCCUAAGGAGAAGCAAUAAUAAAAAAGAGGUGCCAUGUAAGAAAAGAAUCUAGAGAGGCCCACCCAGCAGGAGCACAGCUAGGUGUGGAGCUCACGGCAGAGCAGAUCACCAAAGGCUUUGCAGGCCCAGAAAGAGGAGCCUUGACUUUCAAAGAGUCAUAGGACCCUUCAUAAGCUAUUCUAAGCCUUCCACAUCCAGGGAAAGCAUUUGUUACAGAGGAACAAGGUAACAAAAGAGCUCAAGGAAAAGAGGCCUUGAGGAAGUAAAACUCUACAUUAAAGAUGAGGCUGUCCUCAACACAGCCAAAAAUGAUUUUUUAAGACAUCGUAUUAGAUUAUGUCACUCUUCCAUUCUAAUCUCUCUAACAGCUCGUCUUUCAACCACAGUGAGCCAAAUUCUUUACAUGGUCCCACAAGGUCUGACACCUGACAAUCUUUCUGACUUUUUCUUCUUCUGCGAUCCCUGUCUCUUACUGCACUCCAGACUAGCCUCCUUGCUAUUCCUCUAAUAUACCAAGCACAAUCUCACCUUGGAGUUUGUGCUGGCUGUUCCCUCAUCAAGAAUGUUGUUCCACCCACUUCCAUUUGGUUAACUUCCUCCCUGCCUUCAGAUCUUUGCUUAAAUGUCACCUUUGACAAGUCCCACUUUUACCACCACAUUUAAAGAUGCAAACGUCUUUCAUAUUAACCCCAUCCCAUACUUCCAAUUGCCCCAUCCUGCUCUAUUUUUUUUCAUAGCAUAAUCACUUUCUAUCUUCCAACUUAUUUAUUAUGUUGAUUAUUAUUUGUCUGUGUCCUUGCUACCAGGCCAGAGCUUUUUGUUUAUAUAAGCACUGACAUAUCAUAAAUAUCUAGAACAAUGCCUAGUACUCCAUUGUUCUUAAAAGAUAAUUUUCAAUAAAUAAAUGAGUGAAUAAAGCUGCAUGCUUAUUUCAUGCUUCAACUUUGAGUUAACUUAGAGUCUGGUUACCUUUAGGGAACCAUGUAAAUUAAGUAUAAGAAAAUCUAAAAUAAUUAUAAGGCCUUAGAAAGGUUCUGCUGGGGUAUUUGGAGUUAUAAUAUCAAAUAAAUAUUCAAACUGUUGUAUGCUAUCAGUGUCAUUCUUAAGCUCUCAUCUCUAAGAUCUUAUGUUGUAAAAAAUAGCUUUUAAUUUGAUAUCUAGGUUUUGGUUUCAUCACCUGUAAGAUGAGGAGAUUGCACUAAACCAUCAUUUUGAUUUCUUCUAAAGGUUUGGAAUUUCACACUUAAGAAUGUCAGGUAUUUGUCCCAGUAUUGUGGACUGAAAUAUUGCCAGUCAUAGCCCCUCACAAAAUAUGUUGACUAGCCUUUUUUGAUAUAAAACUGCCUUUAAUUCAUAUUCUCCUUUUCUGGAUUCUUCUAGAAAAC